CCCAGACUCCUACGGGAGGCAGCAGUGGGGAAUAUUGCACAAUGGGGGAAACCCUGAUGCAGCGACGCCGCGUGAGUGAAGAAGUAUUUCGGUAUGUAAAGCUCUAUCAGCAGGGAAGAAAAAAGACGGUACCUGACUAAGAAGCCCCGGCUAACUACGUGCCAGCAGCCGCGGUAAUACGUAGGGGGCAAGCGUUAUCCGGAUUUACUGGGUGUAAAGGGAGCGUAGACGGCAAUACAAGUCGGAAGUGAAAUACCCGGGCUCAACCUGGGAACUGCUUUGGAAACUGUAUGGCUGGAGUGCUGGAGAGGUAAGCGGAAUUCCUAGUGUAGCGGUGAAAUGCGUAGAUAUUAGGAGGAACACCAGUGGCGAAGGCGGCUUACUGGACAGUAACUGACGUUGAGGCUCGAAAGCGUGGGGAGCAAACAGGAUUAGAUACCCCGGUA
rnacentral:rRNA from 1 species